GUGAGUAACGCGUGGGAACGUACCCUUCACUACGGAAUAGCUUCUGGAAACGGAAGGUAAUACCGUAUACGCCCUCCGGGGGAAAGAUUUAUCGGUGAAGGAUCGGCCCGCGUUAGAUUAGUUUGUUGGUGGGGUAAUGGCCUACCAAGACUACGAUCUAUAGCUGGUCUGAGAGGAUGAUCAGCCACACUGGGACUGAGACACGGCCCAGACUCCUACGGGAGGCAGCAGUGGGGAAUCUUGCACAAUGGGCGAAAGCCUGAUGCAGCCAUGCCGCGUGAAUGAUGAAGGCCUUAGGGUUGUAAAAUUCUUUCGCCAGGGAUGAUAAUGACAGUACCUGGUAAAGAAGCCCCGGCUAACUUCGUGCCAGCAGCCGCGGUAAUACGAAGGGGGCUAGCGUUGUUCGGAAUUACUGGGCGUAAAGCGCGCGUAGGCGGGCUAUUAAGCCAGAUGUGAAAGCCCGGGGCUCAACCUCGGAAUUGCAUUUGGAACUGGUAGCCUAGAGACCAGGAGAGGUUAGCGGAAUACCGAGUGUAGAGGUGAAAUUCGUAGAUAUUCGGUGGAACACCAGUGGCGAAGGCGGCUAACUGGACUGGUACUGACGCUGAGGCGCGAAAGUGUGGGGAGCAAACAGGAUUAGAUACCCUGGUAGUCCACACCG
rnacentral:rRNA from 1 species